AUGGGAUGCACGAAAUAUUGAAAGGCAAAUCGAAUUUAAAUAUGAAGUUGAAUGACCUAUAGUUGCCUAUCAUAAACCGUUACAGCCUAGCAAAAGCUCAGCAAAAUCAACAAAGAUAAUACUGCAGACACUUAACGAAAAAAACAUAUAAAAGUUCAAAACCUUUGAAUGAAUAUUCUUUUUCACCAAAUUAACAACAAACAAAGAUG
rnacentral:misc_RNA from 1 species